GCGCUGACCCGGCGGGCCGGGGACGGAGCGCGGUGACACCGCGGGCACAGCGGGACCGGCGGCGCUGCGCCCCUCUGCUGUGGUGCUUCACGCCCCUGCGGUGGUUCCCGACACUCCCACGGCUGCCCCGGCCCCGCAGCGUCCGCGUUUCGGACCACAGAGAGCCCGCAGAGGAAGAGCGCCUCUCGCACGGCCGCUCGUGCAGCGCAGUGCCACCAGCAUCCCAGGGCUUUUGCUAAACCGCUAGAAAAUAGAUCACCCCGCCUCUUCCUUGGACCUUGUACCGCCAAAGGACCCUUCAACCAGUGAAAGUUGUUUUUGCUUUCAAGUACCCUGUCCCAAAAACUUUGCUUCGGUCUGGUGACUAGAUAUGAAAGUGUCCUCACCUUUGUCAUAAAAACGCCACCAUCACAUUUUAUUUCUCCAGCUCUUCUCCCUGUAUCUAUAAGCACUCAUACUCAGUCCUUGCCAGCUGUCAGGUUCAAAACACUGACAUUUUCGUACUUCAGAGAAAUCAAAUAAUAAGUAAUUGUUUUCCAGUAUCAGGUAUGACGGGGGACAGACGUUUACAAGUGCACCCGGAUCUGUUUAGCCAGCUGCCUGUACAAACAAGUGUAACAAGUCACAGUAUUUUUAACUCAAGGACUCUAAAACCUGUGAGAGAGAACAUAACUGUACCCAUUUACCAGACAGAGGCAGGACAGGACAGAGGUGAGGGAAAGAUACAUCAGUGUAGAGGACUGGUGUUGUUGAAGUCCAACAGCGACAGUCACAAAUGCUAUCACUGUACUGUGCUGAACAUCCAUGUACUGACUAAGAAGAAAAAGGAAAAUGAGUUAUCUUCAGGUUUAUGUUCCUCUAUAGGAAAAAAUUUCCCAAAGCAAGAGCCCGGGCAGAUCUACCUUUGUUUUCUAAUGUCAAGUUAGACGCUCUAAUUAAAAAUGUUUAAAAUGCAUUUCAGAAUAAGCAUGAUCCUUUCAGGGGGCAGGGGGAGAAGAAGAUGCAUUUCUGGGAGACUAAGCAUGCCCUGGUGUUCCAAGAGUCCCAUGAAUCCUGUGGAAUGCUCCCACAUCUUGAGGACUUUUUUUAGUGUUUUAGAAAACAUUUAAGAGCAAGCUACAGGGAAUAAUAACAAAAAGUUCUACUGAUGUACCUUAAAACCCACAUGCACCAACAGCACAGCCCCCAGGGAGCACAGCAUCUAUGCAAUGGCGUGCUCGUAUGGCAACAAGCAACACACACCAGAUUUAUAUGAAUUUACUCCCUCCAUGGAAAUGUUUCUUCAGAAUAACUUAAUCUAGUCUAAAUUAAAGUGUUACCUAUCUACGUAAUGCCUUUCAUUCCAUAAAACCUUGAAACAUGCACAGAAUUAAACUCCAUCUCUGGGGGAGAGACCAACCAUCUACCUACCAAUUUACAGCAAUUUAACAAAAGCAGGAAGGGAGGAUAUAUUACAGGCAAAUACAGGACUCACUGCAGGAGGAGUGUAAUUCUCAAUCCUUUUAGUUUCUCUCUGUUAUCAUUUCCCAUUUGUGACAGAGGUAAUAAAACUUCCUUCCUCCAACCUUUAUUUAAUUAAAGUGUAAGGUCUUUAGGGCAGUGAGCUUACUGUGUGUAUAUAUACAGCACCUAGCAUGAAGAGGUCAUGAAUUAAUCUCAGGCCUUUAAAUACUACUGUAAAUACAAAGCAGUAGCAAUAAUAAGAAUAGAACAUAAUUUUCAUUUAGAAUAGAUGAGACUUCUGUUUUCAAUGUGUUAUCACAAAGAAUAAAUUGCAGGCAUCCCAGGGAAAAAUUAAAUUAGGGGUCAAGGAAAAGUAUUUCAUACCAGAGACUUGCACCUCCACUCUAGCCCAGUUGUUUACACCCAAGGACACUGCUGCCCACUGUUACAGCAUUUACUCAAAAUUCUUAUUUGCCAUAAUCUUACAAAAUAAUGUCCCAAAUCCCAUAGGUCAGAUCAUCAGUAAGAGUAGGGGUAUAGUUUAUUCUGAGACAGUUCAUGUGAUUACUGUGAUAACAUACCCAAAUUAACCUUUUGCAUGUGCAAUAAACUGCAAUUAGCAAUCUGCAGACAAAUGACAAGUUCCUUCGUUUCCUGUAAUAUGCAGCAAUACACAAGCCAGAUUUCCUAUUGAAUCCCAUAUUAACCUACAUUCAGUGACAGCGAAAUCUCAGAGCACCGUGUCAGAAUUUAUCAUCUUUCAAUGAUGUUAGCUCCACCUCUUGACAGUUCUAGACAGGAUGUUCAUAAACAACUCAUCCAGAAUCUGAACAACUGCAGCUGAAAAUGUUUAUAAUUUUUUUACCAGUUGUUCCAGCCACUCUGGAUGCUUUUACUUAGGAAUGGGCAGAGCUCUCAAAACAGUAUGGCUGUGUUAAAUAAAUGACAAGAAAUAAAAUGAAGAUGGAGUAGUG